UACAGAGGGCUCAAGCGUUAAUCGGAAUCACUGGGCUUAAAGGGUGCGUAGGCGGCGCUGCAAGUGCCUUGUGAAAUCCCAUCGCUUAACGAUGGAACUGCUCGGUAGACUGCAGUGCUUGAGGUUGGUAGGGGCUGCCGGAACUCUAGGUGGAGCGGUGAAAUGCGUAGAUAUCAGGAGGAACACCGGUGGCGAAGGCGGGUCUCUGGGCCGAUACUGACGCUGAGGAGCGAAAGCGUGGGGAGCGAACAGG
rnacentral:rRNA from 1 species